GACGAACGCUGGCGGCGUGCUUAACACAUGCAAGUCGAACGGUGAAGCGCCUUCCUUUUUGGCGGGUGUGGAUGAGUGGCGAACGGGUGAGUAACACGUGAGUAACCUGCCUCCUUCUUCUGGAUAACCGCAUGAAAGUGUGUCUAAUACGGGAUAUUCUGCGUCUGUCGCAUGCUGGGUCUGGGAAGGAUAUUGUUUCGGUGGGGGCUGGGCUGGCGGCCUAUCAGCUGGUUGGUGGGGUGAUGGCCUAGCAAGGCGGUGACGGGUAGCCGGCCUGAGAGGGUGGACGGGCAAACUGGGACUGAGACACGGCCCAGACUGCUAAGGGAGGCAGCAGUGGGGAAUAUUGCACAAUGGGCGCAAGCCUGAUGCAGCGACGCCGCGUGAGGGAUGGAGGCCUUCGGGUUGUGAACCUCUUUCGCCAGUGAAGCAGGCCUGCCUCGUUUGUGGGUGGGUUGACGGUAGCUGGAUAAGAAGCGCCGGCUAACUACGUG
rnacentral:rRNA from 1 species